GAUGAACGCUAGCGGCAGGCUUAAUACGUGCAAGUCGAGGGGCAGCAGUCCCGUAGCAAUACGGGAGCUGGCGACCGGCAAACGGGUGCGGAACACGUACGCAACUUUCCUUCAAGUGGGGAAUAGCCCAGGGAAACUUGGAUUAAUACCUCGUAAUAUUAUGAAGUGGCAUCACUUUAUAAUUAUAGCUCCGGCGCUUGAAGAUGGGCGUGCGCCUGAUUAGGUAGUUGGCGGGGAACGGCCCACCAAGCCUACGAUCAGUAACUGGUGUGAGAGCACGACCAGUCACACGGGCACUGAGACACGGGCCCGACUCCUACGGGAGGCAGCAGUAAGGAAUAUUGGGCAAUGGACGCAAGUCUGACCCAGCCAUGCCGCGUGGAGGAUGAAGGUCCUCUGGAUUGUAAACUUCUUUUAUCUGGGAAGAAAUCCAUAUUUUCUAAUGUGGUUGACGGUACCAGAUGAAUAGCACCGG
rnacentral:rRNA from 1 species